AACGAACGCUGGCGGCGUGGAUUAGGCAUGCAAGUCGAACGAGAAAGAUUCCUUCGGGAAUCGAGUAGAGUGGCAAACGGGUGAGUAACGCGUGGGAAACCUACCUUUUAGUUGGGGACAACACUUCUAACGAGGUGCUAAUACCGAAUAAGAUCUUACUAUCGCAUGGUGGUUUGAUGAAAGACGGCCUCUGUUUCAAGCUGUCGCUGAAAGAUGGUCCCGCGUCCCAUUAGCUUGUUGGUGAGGUAACGGCUCACCAAGGCGACGAUGGGUAGCCGGCCUUAGCGGGUGACCGGCCACACUGGGACUGAGAUACGGCCCAGACUCCUACGGGUGGCAG
rnacentral:rRNA from 1 species